GCCUUAUAUGCAUCCCUCAUGUUUCUUUAAACAAAGUCCAGGAUGUUUGUUCACCCUUGUUGCAAGCUUCACGUGUCGGUUGUAUUUUAGAAGAACAGAGUUUAAGUCUGAGUUUAAGGGCGGCCCGGUAGUCCAGUGGUUAGCACGUCGGCUUCACAGUGCAGAGGUACCGGGUUCGAUUCCAGCUCCGGCCUCCCUGUGUGGAGUUUGCAUGUUCUCCCCGGGCCUGCGUGGGUUUUCCCCGGGUGCUCCGGUUUCCUCCCACAUUCCAAA